rnacentral:rRNA from 1 species
GAUGAACGCUGGCGGCGUGCCUAACACAUGCAAGUCGAACGGAGAUUACGGACGGAAGUUUUCGGAUGGAAGACUGUAAUUCUUAGUGGCGGACGGGUGAGUAACGCGUGGGCAACCUGCCCUAUACAGGGGGAUAGCAGCUGGAAACGGCUGGUAAGACCGCAUAAGUCGGCGAGACCGCAUGGUUUUGCCGGGAAAUGAGCAAUCAGGUAUAGGAUGGGCCCGCGUCCGAUUAGCCAGUUGGCAGGGUAAAAGCCUACCAAAGCAACGAUCGGUAGCCGGACUGAGAGGUCGGACGGCCACAUUGGGACUGGGACACGGCCCAAACUCCUACGGGAGGCAGCAGUGGGGGAUAUUGCACAAUGGAGGAAACUCUGAUGCAGCGACGCCGCGUGAGUGAAGAAGUAUUUCGGUAUGUAAAGCUCUAUCAGCAGGGAAGAUGAUGACGGUACCUGACUAAGAAGCCCCGGCUAACUACGUG